rnacentral:pre_miRNA from 1 species
CACUGCCCGUGACAUCAAGAAACUAGUGAUUAUGCAUAGAAAAGAGAACAUAUCACAGUUUACUUGCUGUCCCAGGCGGAA